UUAUAGUUUCAGAUUGGAGAACUGGCAAAUACCCUGACAAGUAAAUUUGAAUUUCUAGGCAUUAAUAGACAAUCCAUCUCCAACUUUCAUGUGCUGCUCUUACAGACUGAGACUCGAAUUGCAGACUGGCGGGAAGGGGCUCUUAAUGGAAACUACCUUAAACGAAAACUUCAGGAUGCAGCAGAACAACUAAAACAGUAUGAAAUAAACGCCACUCCUAAAGGCUGGUCCUGCCACUGGGACAGGGAUCAUAGACGGUAUUUCUAUGUAAACGAACAGUCGGGCGAGUCUCAGUGGGAGUUUCCAGAUGGUGAAGAGGAAGAAGAAGAAAGCCAAGCACAAGAAAGUAGAGAUGAGACUCUUGCCAAACAGACCUUGAAAGACAAAACUGGCACUGAUUCAAAUUCUACAGAAUCCUCUGAAACUUCCACAGGGAGAAAAUCCCCUUCAACAUUCCUGGGAUAUAUAUCUAAUAGUCCCAUAUAUUGUGAAACUUCCCUAUUGACGAUAAAGAGGGCUGGGGAAGGCUACAAGUUCUCUUUGUAAAGAAUCCUUUUCUGGUCAAGUUUCUUCUUCAUCACUCAUGCCACUUACUCCAUUCUGGACCCUCCUUCAGUCAAAUGUUCCUGUGCUUCAACCUCCAUUACCCUUGGAAAUGCCACCACCCCCACCUCCACCUCCAGAAUCACCUCCACCCCCUCCUCCACCACCUCCUCCUGCGGAAGAUGGUGAGAUCCAGGAGGUAGAGAUGGAGGAUGAGGGAAGUGAGGAGCCCCCUGCCCCAGGAACAGAGGAAGAUACCCCUUUGAAACCUUCAGCACAAACCACAGUUGUAACUAG
rnacentral:sRNA from 1 species